GACGAACGCUGGCGGCGUGCUUAACACAUGCAAGUCGAACGGAAAGGCCCUGCUUUUGUGGGGUGCUCGAGUGGCGAACGGGUGAGUAACACGUGAGUAACCUGCCCUUGACUUUGGGAUAACUUCAGGAAACUGGGGCUAAUACCGGAUAGGAGCUCCUGCUGCAUGGUGGGGGUUGGAAAGUUUCGGCGGUUGGGGAUGGACUCGCGGCUUAUCAGCUUGUUGGGGGGGUAGUGGCUUACCAGGGCUUUGACGGGUAGCCGGCCUGAGAGGGUGACCGGCCACAUUGGGACUGAGAUACGGCCCAGACUCCUACGGGAGGCAGCAGUGGGGAAUAUUGCACAAUGGGCGGAAGCCUGAUGCAGCAACGCCGCGUGCGGGAUGCCGGCCUUCGGGUUGUAAACCGCUUUCGCCUGUGACGAAGCGUGAGUGACGGUAAUGGGUAAAGAAGCACCGGCUAACUACGUG
rnacentral:rRNA from 1 species